rnacentral:rRNA from 1 species
UUGGAGGGCAAGUCUGGUGCCAACAGCCGCGGUAAUUCCAGCUCCAAUAGCGUAUAUUAAAGUUGUUGCAGUUAAAAAGCUCGUAGUUGAAUUUCGGGAUCAGAGUGUCGGUCGUGCCUCGGUACGCACUGGUAUUAUUGGUUCCUACCUUCUGAAGAACCGCGAUGUCAUUAAUUUGGUGUCGUGGGGAAUCAGGACUGUUACUUUGAAAAAAUUAGAGUGUUUAAAGCAGGCUUACGCUUGAAUACAUUAGCAUGGAAUAAUGAAAUAGGACGUUUGAUUCUAUUUUGUUGGUUUCUAGGAUUGACGUAAUGAUUACUAGGGAUAGUUGGGGGCAUUAGUAUUCAAUUGUCAGAGGUGAAAUUCUUGGAUUUAUUGAAGACUAACUACUGCGAAAGCAUUUGCCAAGGAUGUUUUCAUUAAUCAAGAACGAAAGUUAGGGGAUCGAAGACGAUCAGAUACCGUCGUAGUCUUAACCAUAAACUAUGCCGACUAGGGAUCGGAUGAUGUUAAUUUUUAAUGACUCAUUCGGCGCCUUACGGGAAAC